AUUGAAAUACCGGUUUCCGUACGAUUACCGAAGUUAAGCCACGUCGAACCUGAUCAGUAACCAGAUGGGUGACCGCUUGGGAAUAUCAGGUGCUGUAAG